rnacentral:rRNA from 1 species
AUAUCAUUAAGCCGAGGAAAAGAAAUUAACUAAGAUUGCCCUAGUAACGGCGAGUGAAGCGGCAAGAGCCCAAACUGGAAAUCUUCACACUGCGUGUGACGAAUUGUAAUCUAUAGAUGGUUCACUCACCGGGUGAUGGCGCAGAAGUGCCUUAGAACGGGCCGCCAGAGAGGGUGAAAGCCCCGUAUGUGGUGCCAUUGCCUAACGAGUGGGUCGUCCAAGAGUCGGGUUGUUUUGUAUUGCAGCCCUAAGCGGGAGAUAAACUUCUUCUAAGGCUAAAUAUAUAUGGGAGACCGAUAGCGCACAAGUA